AAAUUUGUAACAACACAGUCAACGUUUCACACAAGUUCAAGCCAACCAUCAACUCCAAAUUCUUGAAUCAAAAAAACCCAUUGCAAUUAGUGAGCUUUACUUUAGCAGCUUGUAAGAAUGCAGUAAAAGGUAUCUUAAAAUGUCAUUCAAGUUAAACCGAGGAAGAAGGCCCAUAUGCCAAAAAUAAAUGAGGUUCUACGUUCUCAUUGCUUGAGAGGGUUGAGGUG
rnacentral:lncRNA from 1 species